rnacentral:rRNA from 1 species
GACGAACCGUACGAACGUUAUUCGGAAUUACUGGGCUUAAAGGGUUUGUAGGCGGCCUUGUAAGUCAGGCGUGAAGCCCCGGGCUCAACCUGGGAACCGCGCUUGAGACUGGCACGCUCGAGUUCGGGAGAGGAUGGUGGAAUUCCCAGUGUAGAGGUGAAAUUCGUAGAUAUUGGGAAGAACACCGAUGGCGAAGGCAGCCAUCUGGACCGACACUGACGCUGAGGCGCGAAAGCGUGGGGAGCAAACAGG